UACGUAGGGGGCGAGCGUUGUCCGGAUUUAUUGGGCGUAAAGAGCGUGUAGGCGGCCAGGUAGGUCUGCUGUGAAAACUCGAGGCUCAACCUCGAGACGUCGGCGGAAACCAUCUGGCUAGAGUCCGGAAGAGGAGAGUGGAAUUCCUGGUGUAGCGGUGAAAUGCGCAGAUAUCAGGAAGAACACCCGUGGCGAAGGCGGCUCUCUGGGACGGUACUGACGCUGAGACGCGAAAGCGUGGGGGAGCAAAACAGG
rnacentral:rRNA from 1 species